GUGGGGAAUAUUGGACAAUGGACGAAAGUCUGACGGAGCAACGCCGCGUGAGUGAUGAAGGUUUUCGGACUGUAAAGCUCUGUUGUUUAGGACGAAAGUGCCUGUUGCAAAUAGUUACAGGUAUUGACGGUACUGAACGAGGAAGCCACGGCUAACUACGUGCCAGCAGCCGCGGUAAUACGUAGGUGGCAAGCGUUGUCCGGAAUUAUUGGGCGUAAAGAGCAUGUAGGCGGGAAUCUAAGUCUGUUGUGAAAAUGCGGGGCUCAACCCCGUAUUGCGAUGGAAACUGGGUUUCUUGAGUGCAGGAGAGGAAAGGGGAAUUCCCAGUGUAGCGGUGAAAUGCGUAGAUAUUGGGAGGAACACCAGUGGCGAAGGCGCCUUUCUGGACUGUGUCUGACGCUGAGAUGCGAAAGCCAGGGUAGCGAACGGGAUUAGAAACCCGAGUAGUCC
rnacentral:rRNA from 1 species